GUCCCACUUGUCAUCUGGCAUGCACCCUAGUGACUUUAGUGGACAUCUAAGUCUUCCAACUAAGGCACGCGGUGAAUGCCACGUGGCCAUGAUGGG
ensembl:miRNA mir-124 ncRNA